AAAUGAAGGGGUUCUGAGGCUCUCCAGUAGGGGAGCACAAGGAAUGCUUAGACAGGAGGAGGGCCAGGGGAUUCUCACCCUCUCUGAUGCUCUACCUGCUGCACUUCACUGUGUGGGUAACAGAAGUAGAGUCUGGAUAACUAACAAUAGAAGCUUCUUUGGCUCUUGGCCGCUGACAGAGAAGUCCAAGAACAUUCAUUGUUCUGAGCAGGGCCUUUAAGUGGAGGCACAGCGUGUCAGAAGGGCAAGGGGACAUGUGCAAGAUGGAAGAAACUGGCUGUUGGUUGGUGUGGACAACUCCUCGUAUUUGGUGCCAGAAAUACUAGUCCUGCUAAUUUCAUUAUGGAGCUUGUCCAGAAACCCCUGGAGAUCCGUGGGAUUUUAGAAGAUAAAAGAAUAAAGCAGUGGUUCUCAACCUGCCUAAUGCUGAGAUGGCUUUAAUAUAUAUAGUUCCUCACCAGCAGCCGUUUGCACCAGGGAGCCAGGAAACUCCAUAGCCUUCUGUGCAUAGCCGCCAGGAGGGAGUGAUCUCCCAGCAGGUUUUCACUUUUGAGCACAGAGGUGAGAUCUCCACCUUCUCUUUGAAGGGGACCCAGCUAGAAGCAUAUAGGGCCUAAGAUCAGUGAAGCAGCUGGGACAGAAGUCUUCCCUGCUGGGGAGCCAGGAAACUCCACAGUCUUCUGUGCAUAGCCCACCAGGAGAGAGAGACAGAGAUCUCCCAGCAGUGCUUUCACUUCUGAGCUCAGAGGAGUAAGGACACAGGCUUACAGGCCCACAGGAGGAACAAACUCCAGCCAGAGACAACAAUACCAACUAGCACCAGAGAUAACCAGAUGGCGAAAGGCAAGCACAAGAACCUUACCAACAGAAACCAAGGACUCAUGGCAACAUCAGAACCCAGUUCUCCCACCACAGCAAGUCCUGGAUACCCCAACACAUGGGAAAAGCAAGAGUUGGAUUUAAAAUAGUAUCUCAUGAUGCCUAUAGAGGGCUUCAAGAAAGACUUAAAUAAUUCCCAUAAAGAAAUACAGGAGAACAUCGGUCAACAAGUAAAAACCCUUAAAGAGGAAACACAAAAAUCCCUUAAAGAAAUACAGGAGAUCAUGGGUCAAAAGGCAGAAGCCCUUAAAGAAGAAACACAAAAAUCCCUUAAAGAAUUACAGGAAAACACAAACAAUCAAGUGAAGGGACUGAACAAAAGCAUCCAGGAUCUAAAAGUAGAAGCAGAAACAAUAAAUAAAUCACAAAGUGAGACAUCUCUGGAGAUAGAAAACCUUGGAAAGUAUUCAGGAGUCAUAGAUGCAAGCAUUAACAACAGAAUACAAGAGAUAGAAGAAAGAACCUCAGGUGCUUAAGAUAGCACAGAAAACAUUGACUCAACAGUCAAAGAAAAUGCAAAAUGCACAAAGCUCAAAACAUCCAGGAACUCCAGGACACAAUGAGAAGACCAAACCUAAGGAUUAUAGGUAUAGACAAGAGCGAGGAUUUACAUCUUAAAGGCCCAGUAAAUAUCUUCAACAAAAUUGUAGAAGAAAACUUCCCUAACCUAGAGAAAGAGAUGCCCAUGAACAAACAAGAAGACUUCAGAACUCCAAACAGACUGGAUUAGAACAGAAACUCCUCCCGGUACAUAAUAAUCAAAACACCAAAUUCAAUAAACAAAGAAAGAAUAUUAAAAGCAGUAAGGGAAAAAGAGCAAGUAACUUAUAAAGGCAGACCUAUCAGAAUCACACCAGACUUUUCACCAGACGAUGAAAGCUAGAAGAUGCUGGGCAGACCUUAUACAGACCCUAAGAGAACACAAAUGCCAGCCCAGACUAUUAUACCCAGCAAAACUCUCAAUCACCAUAGAUGGAGAAAACAAGAUAUUCCAUGAUAAAACCAAAUUUACACAAUGUCUGUCCACAAAUCCAGCCCUACAAAGGAUAAUUGAUGGAAAAUGCCAACACAAGGAGGGAGAUUACACCCUAGAAAAAGCAAGAAAGUAAUCUUCCAACAAACCCAAAAGAAGAUACCCACACAAAUAUAAAAAUAACAGGAAGCAACAAUCACUAUUCCUUAAUAUCUCUCAACAUCAAUGGACUCAACUCCCCAAUAAAAAGACAUAGACUAACAAAAUAUUUCUCAUGUAAAUCUUCAAUUUUAUCAGAAAAUGUUUGUAAUUCCCCUUUUAAUUAACUUAGUAAUUUCUUUUAUGUCUACCAUUUUAUCUGCAUUAUUUUCAUGAUAACCUUCAAUUUUAAUGUCUUUCUAUAUACUUUCUCCAUUUUAUCAGAAAUGUUUCCAAUGUAAAUCUUUGAUUUUAUCACAAAUGUUUCUAAUUCCACCUUCAAUUAAUUUAGUUUUUACAUCAACCAUUUAUGUAAAAAUUUCCAAGAAAUAGUAAAUUUUAACGUGUUUGUCUUUUUAUUUCUUGAAUUUUACCAGAAAUAAUUUCCAUGUAAAGCUUCAAUGUUUUCUGAAAAUGUUUAUAAUUCUAUCUUCAAUCAACUUAGAAUUAUCUUUAUGCCUAUCAUUUUAAUUUCCAUGAUAAUCUUUAAUUUUAACAUGUUUGUCUAUAUAUGUCUACAAUUUUAUCAGAAAUAUUUUCCAUGUAAAUCUUCAAGUUUAUCAGAAAAUGCUUAUAAUUCCAUUUUUAAUCAACUUAGGAAUACUUUUAUGCCUACCAUUAUUAUAUCUGUAUAAAAUUUUCCGUGAUCAUUUUCAAUUCUAACAUGUUUUUCUACAUUUUCUCCAAUUUUAUCAGAAAUAUUUU